rnacentral:misc_RNA from 1 species
UUUCCGUAGGUGAACCUGCGGAAGGAUCAUUAUUGGAUUUUGAAACUUCAGGCUGCUGCUGGCUCUCCUCGGAGGGCAUGUGCACGCUUGUUGUCCAUUAUUUCUCCCACUGUGCACAAAUUGUAGACCUUUCAGUAGGCCUAUGUUGUUUUUCACAAUCUCUGAAUGCAAUAGAAUGGUUUUGAAUCUUGGGAAAUACAAUACAACUUUCAGCAACGGAUCUCUUGGCUCUCACAUCGAUGAAGAACGCAGC